rnacentral:lncRNA from 1 species
CAGCGAGUCAGCUGACAGCACUCCUCCUGCCCUGCUCCCAGCAGUAUGAGAGGAGAGAGAUGUGCCAGUGGGAAUGACACAGAGGAGGCAGUGCAAGGGUGGGGAGGGGCCAGCUAUACUCAGAGCUGUGAGUUUUGGGCUGACUCAUCUGAGAAUGCCACAGCAACUAGAAGAGCAAUGCAGAAACAAACAGGGUCAUAGUUGCUGUUCAAUUCAGGGAAGAAAUAUUCAAAACUAGAAAAUGAGAAUUAAUACUUGGAGGCCAAGGUAAAAUCAGACAUCAUUUGACUGGACCCCAAUAUCAUAUCAAACUCUACUCUGUCUUUUAAACAGAGGUACAGUAUAUUCUAGGAAAUUAUUCUU